AGUGAACGCUGGCGGUAGGCCUAACACAUGCAAGUCGAACGGCAGCACAGUAAGAGCUUGCUCUUACGGGUGGCGAGUGGCGGACGGGUGAGGAAUACAUCGGAAUCUACUUUUUCGUGGGGGAUAACGUAGGGAAACUUACGCUAAUACCGCAUACGACCUACGGGUGAAAGCAGGGGAUCUUCGGACCUUGCGCGAUUGAUUGAGCCGAUGUCGGAUUAGCUAGUUGGCGGGGUAAAGGCCCACCAAGGCGACGAUCCGUAGCUGGUCUGAGAGGAUGAUCAGCCACACUGGAACUGAGACACGGUCCAGACUCCUACGGGAGGCAGCAGUGGGGAAUAUUGGACAAUGGGCGCAAGCCUGAUCCAGCCAUACCGCGUGGGUGAAGAAGGCCUUCGGGUUGUAAAGCCCUGUUGUUGGGAAAGAAAAGCAGCAGGUUAAUACCCCGCUGUUCUGACGGUACCCAAAGAAUAAGCACCGGCUAACUUCGUG
rnacentral:rRNA from 1 species